GAGAAGAUGGGGUUGAGGGGAGCGCACAAGAGAAAGAGAGUGGAACUGUACGCGGUAGUUUGUCAAUUUGACACAAGCUGGAGUUAUCUGAAAGGAGGGAACUGCAAUUGAGAAAAUGCCUCCGUAAGACCCAGCUAUUCGCAAACCUGCUGCGGUCCAACAAUGUCUGGCUGUGAAUGGAAAGUCCAAGAAUCUAGUAGUCGUUCAGUCCACAAGACUGGGUGUCAGCUUAUCUGUACACGCUGGAAUCCCAAAGAAGCAGGCUCCAAUGCCAGUGAAGGAAUGGAUGUGCUGACCAGGUUUUCACUGUGUAGUGCUGGCUGAACUGAAACUCACUCAGAGAUCUGCCUGUCUCUUAAAGGUGUAUGUGGCCACCUCCUGGCUCAUGAAUUGUUUUACACAUGCUGUCCAAAUUCCUUAGUUUGAAAAUGGUAUUGUAGUGGUAUUGUGUUCCCCAAAAUAUUGUACACCCUAAUAAACUUUUCUGGGGUCAGAGACAGAACAGCCACAAUAUUAAACAUAGAGGAUAGGCAGUGGUAACACACGCCUUUAAUCCUAGCAUUCCAGAGGUAGAAAUCCCUCUGGAUCAAGGCCACAUUGGAAACAGCCAGGCAUGGUGACACACGCCUUGAAUCCCAAGAAGUGAGCCUUUAAUCCCAGGAAGUGAUGGCAGAAGGCAGAAAGGUAUAUAAGGCAUGAAGACCAGGAACUAGAAGCAUUUGGCUGGUUAAGCUUUCAGGCUUUCGAGCAGCACAGUUCAGCUGAGAUUCAUUCUGGAUGAGGACUCAGAGGCAUCCAGUCUGAGGAAACAGAAUCAGCUGAGGAACUGGCAAGGUGAGGAAGCUGUGGCUUGUUCUGCUUCUCUGAUCUUCCAGUUCACCCCAAUAACUGGCCUCAGGUUUGAUUUUUAUUAAUAAGUACCUAUAAGAUUCAUGUUACAUCUGGCGCCCAACGUUUGUGGUACGAAUUCUGGAAAAAGUCACUUGCCUGUGGCCUUUCGGGCCCCAGCUCAGACCUAAGCUACACGUUGCCAAUUGUGGUGGCACACCGCACGCCGGCAGGAUUUGCUGAAGGAGGGAGAGGCAGGAGGAUCCCGAGUUUGAGACCAGCUUGGGAGGCUUGCUAAGGAGAAGCUACGGCUGAUGGGGGAACUAGCUACAAACGGUGCCAGUGGGACCAUGGAGUCAGUGGCUGCUGCUCUGAGGCUUCUUCUCAUCGUGUUGGUGACUGCGAUGAUGCUGCUACCUGGGACAAAGGGUUUACUGCUACUUGUUCGGAGAAGAAUUGACAGGACCAUUGUAUUACCAAAAAACAUCGGCAAAAGGUCAGUUUAGAAAAGUUUGACAAGACAAAUGGUGGGGAGAAAUUGCUGUGAACAUUUUCUUUUCUAGGGAAGAACGUUUAUGGUUCCGAGAGCAGACAUUUAUCGGACUGUGAUUGCUCCAAACCACAGAGGAGGCCAAAAAAAAAAAAAAAAAAUCUGCAAGGAACCAUGACCA